AACGAAAGCUGGCGGAAGGCUUAACACAUGCAAGUCGAACGCCCGUAGCAAUACGGGAGUGGCGGACGGGUGAGUAACGCGUGGGAACGUGCCCUGAGGUACGGAAUAACUGCGGGAAACUGCAGCUAAUACCGUAUGAGCCCCUUACGGGGGAAAGCUUUAUCGCCUUAGGAGCGGCCCGCGUCGGAUUAGCUAGUUGGUGGGGUAACGGCUUACCAAGGCUUCGAUCCGUAGCUGGUCUGAGAGGACGAUCAGCCACACUGGGACUGAGACACGGCCCAGACUCCUACGGGAGGCAGCAGUGGGGAAUCUUGCGCAAUGGGGGCAACCCUGACGCAGCCAUGCCGCGUGAAUGAUGAAGGCCUUAGGGUUGUAAAGUUCUUUUGCCCGUGACGAUGAUGACGGUAACGGGAGAAUAAGCUCCGGCUAACUUCGUGCCAGCCGCCGCGGUAAUAC
rnacentral:rRNA from 1 species